UAAAAUGAUAACCACAAUGUGUUACCAAGUACCUUCAUAGAAGGGACAUUAUAAGGACAGUUCAAAACCUUUCCAUCACCGCGGCGUCCACAAAUACCAUACAUGGAACAAUACCCUUCUGCAUAUAUCUUUCUGAAGGAAAAUGAUAAAAUGUUUCAAAUGCAAAAAUAGAAUAUUGAAUUUCUGAAAGAAAAUGGACAGUGAUUAUCAUAAACGAUCAGAUUCAAGAAAGGCAAUGGAACUUGUAGUUUUGGAUGUGACAAAGGAGCUAAAAAGUGCCUAUGUAAAUGAAUGAUGAUUACUAUUAGUUAUUGUGGCCAGACACCCCAUGUCUGCAUCAAAUCUUUUUCUUUUUUCAUCAUUGUGUCUUACUUAUCUCAUAUCUCGUUACAAAAGUUUAGAUGUUUACUACCUUGAGGGAUUCUUUUCUAACAGAUAUUACAAGACUACCAACAAAAGUGGGACUAGUCAAGCUUCUAAGGCAAAUCUAUGAUCUUUGGCCAGUCAAAUGUAAGAAAUCUUAGAUCACUGUCACUUCAGCAGAACCUGCCCUCCUUCAAUCAAUGAAAAUCCCUAUAUGUUCAAUUUGGAUCUAGAACAAUAAGAAUCAUUGGAUAGCUCAAAUGACCAUUAGAAGUCUUGCUUUGUGGCCUCUGGCUCACUCAAAAACAUGGCAGUAAGGACAUUUUCUUACACUGCCAGAUAACUAAUCUAUCAGCUUGACUUUAAAAAUACCUUUUUCUAUAUGAUGGAAGCUAAUCAGAUGCUUUUUUAUGUUAGAUUUUGGUCUUUAAUAUCAUACUAGAUAGAGGGCAUUUCUUUAUCUAGUUUAGUACAUAGGCUGUAAGAUAUUUUCAACAGUUUUUCCGUUUAUUAUUGAGUAAAAAAAAAGGGAAAGAUUAAAAAAAAAUACAUGACACUUGACAGGCUGUCGACUACAAAAAGGCCGCUAUUGUAGUUUAUAAAGACUACAUGAACAACUAUGUACAAAAGAUUUCUCAAAAAUAAUAUUAAACAAAAUAUAAUGCUCAAUAACUACAUGCAUUUUGACUAAAUAUCCACUUAAUCUCAAAAAUAUGAGGAAAUUAAUUUUGCUUCUGAGUUGUACUAAAAGAUGAAGGAAAAAAUUUGAAUUCAGUAGGCAAAGCUUCAAAAUUACCAAGUUUAAUGAUUCCUCAAAAAACUGAAGUUGAAAAAGUAUAUUAUAUAUAAAUGUUAUAUCUUUGCAAUACAAAAAAAAUAGUUCACUUAAAUUUCCAUUAUAUAAAAUGUUUCUUUCACUUGAAUUUAUCCCUUUAUGGAACAGGCAUUCAAAUUUAACUAGUCAUGCUAAACAUGCUGAACUCAAAAUUAUUUGUCGGAAGCACCAGAUGCAGAAGCAGACAAAAAAAGGACUUCCUGAACCAGAACUAGCCAAAAAAAUUGUACUAGUUUUUCGGGUGCUUCUAUAGGCUGGUAUAGCCUUCAGCAUUCUAUUGGAUAGAUUUACUAGUUUCUUGAGAAAUGAUGUUCCUGGUUCAAUGGAAUCAGUCAUUGUCUGCUCAGAAAUAAUUCACCACUCUUUCUCUAGCUAAGAAGUAAAGUCUAAACAUCAACAAAAAAUAAAAAGAAAGAAAGAAUGAAACUAUUGCAUAUCGCAACUAACACCAAGCAAUGGAAACAUAAGAACAUUUUGCUCAUGCCAGAUAUGUAGCCAGAUAUAAUGUAAAAAUUAGAAUUUGUAACCUGAAGCAGACCUAUCAAAUGAAACAAUAGCUGAAGGCCUACAUUUAAAAUUUGUUUACCCAAAUGGACAUUAUAAAUCAUGAUCUGUCAAGAGAAUGCCCUUACACUGUUGUAGCAUUGGACUGCUGAGCACCUGUUGGAGGCACAAGAGUGAUCUGCA
rnacentral:lncRNA from 1 species